GAUGAACGCUGGCGGCGUGCCUAAUACAUGCAAGUCGAGCGAAUGGAUUAAGAGCUUGCUCUUAUGAAGUUAGCGGCGGACGGGUGAGUAACACGUGGGUAACCUGCCCAUAAGACUGGGAUAACUCCGGGAAACCGGGGCUAAUACCGGAUAACAUUUUGAACCGCAUGGUUCGAAAUUGAAAGGCGGCUUCGGCUGUCACUUAUGGAUGGACCCGCGUCGCAUUAGCUAGUUGGUGAGGUAACGGCUAACCAAGGCAACGAUGCGUAGCCGACCUGAGAGGGGGAUAGGCAACACUGGGACUGCGACACGGCCCAGACUCCUACGGGAGGCAGCAGUAGGGAAUCUUCCGGAAUGGACGAAAGUCUGACGGAGCAACGCCGCGUGAGUGAUGAAGGCUUUCGGGUCGUAAAACUCUGUUGUUAGGGAAGAACAAGUGCUAGUUGAAUAAGCUGGCACCUUGACGGUACCUAACCAGAAAGCCACGGCUAACUACGUGCCAGCAGCCGCGGUAA
rnacentral:rRNA from 1 species